GCAGUGGUGGUCCAGUGGUAGAAUUCUUGCCUUCCAUGCAGGAGAUCUGGGUUCGAUUCCCAGCCAAUGCA
rfam:Loxodonta africana unplaced genomic scaffold scaffold_34, whole genome shotgun sequence.